CCAUAGCCCCGAUUGCAGCGGCAUCCUUUUUUGUGGAGGCUGGAGUGAAACGGAAGCCGUAACAAAAAAGAUAUAGCGGAAAGCGGGAUUAAGC
rnacentral:sRNA from 1 species